UAGCGCAGCUUGGUAGCGCACCUGGUUUGGGACCAGGGGGUCAAAGGUUCGAAUCC
rnacentral:tRNA from 1 species